rnacentral:rRNA from 1 species
UACGUAGGGUGCAAGCGUUGUCCGGAAUUAUUGGGCGUAAAGAGCUCGUAGGCGGUUUGUUGCGUCGGCUGUGAAAUCCCGAGGCUCAACCUCGGGUCUGCAGUCGAUACGAGCAAACUAGAGUGUUGCAGGGGAGACUGGAAUUCCUGGUGUAGCGGUGAAAUGCGCAGAUAUCAGGAGGAACACCGGUGGCGAAGGCGGCAUCCUGGACCGGCAUUGACGCGUGAGGAGCGGAAAGCCAGGGGAGCAAACGGG